rnacentral:misc_RNA from 1 species
UUGAUUUAAAUUCUAAAACAUACUCAGACGCAAAUUGACGCAGAGUUUGAGUUACCCUCCGGGGGGCGUCGGCCGCCGGGGCAGGGUCGCCCCCCGAAGCAACAUUGUUGGAUGGCAAAGGGUUGGAGGUCGGGCCCGGAAGCCCUUCACUCGAUAAUGAUCCCUCCGCAGGUUCACCUACGGAGA